CCUACGGGCGGCAGCAGUGGGGGAUAUUGCACAAUGGGGGGAACCCUGAUGCAGCGACGCCGCGUGAAGGAAGAAGGCUUUCGGGUUGUAAACUUCUUUUGUCAGGGACGAAGCAAGUGCCGGUACCUGACGAUUAAGCCACGGCUAACGACGUGCCAGCAGCCGCGGUAAUACGUAGGUGGCAAGCGUUAUCCGGAUUUACUGGGUGUAAAGGGCGUGUAGGCGGGACUGCAAGUCAGAUGUGAAAACCACGGGCUCAACCUGUGGCCUGCAUUUGAAACUGUAGUUCUUGAGUACUGGAGAGGCAGACGGAAUUCCUAGUGUAGCGGUGAAAUGCGUAGAUAGUAGGAGGAACACCAGUGGCGAAGGCGGUCUGCUGGACAGCAACUGACGCUGAGGCGCGAAAGCGUGGGGAGCAAACAGGAUUAGAUACCCUAGUAGUC
rnacentral:rRNA from 1 species